GGCGUCAGGUACGGGUUCACCAAGCCACCCCGCCCACCUCAGGACGCAGCUGCCGGUCCAGCUGCUCCCGCGGGCCCACAGCGCGCUGUGGAAAGGAGCGGACAGGCCAGAGGCUCCCUCGGGCCUACAAGUCUAGGCUAGGCAGUGUUUCCGAGUCCCAGACGGAGCGACGGGGCCGGCCGCAGCCUCAGCCACGCGUCCCUCGGCGGCGGGCAGGCUCCUCUUGGCCUGCAGCCUUACUUUCAUGCCCUUCUUCACAGUCUCCUGGGAGAUUAAGAUGAGUGACCUAGAGGAGAAGGAUGUUGAUGAAUUCAGCUCCAGUGGUUUUAAGUGCCCAACAUGCUUUGCAGUGCAAGGAAGGAAAUGCAAUACAGAACUCAAAUGGUGUGCAGCAGAUAAAAUAAAGUGUAUUGAAUUCUCUGGCAUCAUAAACACAGUUUCUUGCAGGUAUUCGUGACGUAGCCAUUGAAAUGAGGAGAUGCAUACAAGCAGACCUAUGCAAAGAGAUAACUUCUUAGAUCGGUUUUCCAAUUGCUAACAAGAGUAGAAAUUGCAAAUCAGCCAUCAGAAAUGGGGCCAGAAUCAGACCCCCAUCUCCCAUCUUCUUUGUUCUUUUCCUGGGGAGGGUACUUCAUGGAGCUCUGGCAAGAGCCUAGCCACUUCCAUUUAUGAAUUAAACCUGCAUUUUUUUGUUAA